rnacentral:rRNA from 1 species
GGGUGUUGGAUAUCCCGGUGCAAGCGUGUAGGAAUAUCCGGUAGGCAAAUCCGCCGGACGAAUCUGAGACGCGAGUCCGUGGGCGCAAGCCCUGAAGCCGUUGAGUCUAUGCUGCCUAGAAAAGCUCCUAAGUUUAUCCACAGCAAUCCGUACCGCAAACCAACUCAGGUGGGUGGGAUGAACAAUCCAAGGCGCUCGAGAGAACUCUGGCCAAGGAACUCGGCAAAAUAACCCCGUAACUUCGGAAGAAGGGGUGCUCUCUAGGGUGACAUGUUUAACAUAUGAAGCCCCGGGGAGCCGCAGUGAAUUGGUGGUGGCGACUGUUUACUAAAAACAUAGGUCUGUGCGAAGUCCUAAAGACGACGUAUACGGACUGACGCCUGCCCGGUGCUGGAAGGUUAAAAGGAGGGGUCAGCGCAAGCAAAGCUCCGAAUUGAAGCCCCAGUAAACGGCGGCCGUAACUAUAACGGUCCUAAGGUAGCGAAAUUCCUUGUCGGGUAAGUUCCGACCUGCACGAAUGGCGUAACGAUCUCCACACUGUCUCGGCCAGAGACUCGGUGAAAUUGCAGUCGCGGUGAAAAUUCCGUGUACCCGCAGAAAGACGGAAAGACCCUGUGCACCUUUACUAUAGCUUGACAUUGGAUUUUGGGCCUGCAUGUGUAGGAUAGGUGGGAGGCUGUGAACCCUGUACGCCAGUAUGGGGGGAGCCAUCCUUGAAAUACCACCCUUGCAUGUUUAAGAUCCUAACUUCUUCCGGUUAUCCCGGAGAAAGACAGUGUCUGGCGGGUAGUUUGACUGGGGCGGUCGCCUCCUAAAGUGUAACGGAGGCAUGCAAAGGUUCCCUCAGCCUGAUCGGAAACCAGGCGCUGAGUGCAAACGCAUAAGGGAGCUUGACUGUAAGAGAGACAUCUCGAACAGGAACGAAAGUUGGCGUUAGUGAUCCGGUGGUCCCGAAUGGAAGGGCCAUCGCUCAUUGGAUAAAAGGUACGCCGGGGAUAACAGGCUGAUCGCAUCCAAGAGUUCACAUCGACGAUGCGGUUUGGCACCUCGAUGUCGGCUCAUCACAUCCUGGGGCUGAAGCAGGUCCCAAGGGUACGGCUGUUCGCCGUUUAAAGUGGUACGCGAGCUGGGUUUAAAACGUCGUGAGACAGUUUGGUCCCUAUCUUCUGUGGGCGAAGGAGAAUUGAGAGGGCCUGUCCCUAGUACGAGAGGACCGGGAUGGACGCACCCCUGGUGAUCCUGUUGUCGCGCCAGCGGCAUAGCAGGGUAGCUAUGUGCGGAAGGGAUAACCGCUGAAAGCAUCUAAGCGGGAAGCCUGCCUCAAGAUAAGUUCUCCCCUCGAAAGAGCUGAAGGGCCCGGGUAGACUACCCGGUCGAUAGGCUGGAGGUGUAAGCGCGGCGACGUGCUCAGCUGACCAGUACUAAUAGCCCGAGCGGCUUAUUU